rnacentral:rRNA from 1 species
CGGCCACAGCCCAAAACUCAAAGGACUUGGCGGUGCUUUAUACCCUUCUAGAGGAGCCUGUUCUAUAAUCGAUAAACCCCGAUAAACCUCACCAAUCCUUGCUAAUACAGUCUAUAUACCGCCAUCUUCAGCAAACCCUAAAAAGGAAUAAAAGUAAGCACAACCAUAGCACAUAAAAACGUUAGGUCAAGGUGUAACCUAUGGAGUGGGAAGAAAUGGGCUACAUUUUCUACCUUAAGAA